AAGGGAUGUUACCGCUGUUGUCUUCGAUUGAUUCUCAGUUGAACCGUCUGCCCAUAUAGAGUAAAAUUCUCCACUCUGCCAAUUCAGAAACAAAAGGAAACCGUAAUCAGACUAUUGAGUCAAGUACUAUUUUCUCUACCUGGAUGAGAUAAAACUUUCCUAUCACCAGCAGAAGAGAUAACACGAAGAGCAAAGGAAGCAACUGGUGGGUUAUCUCUGGUAAGGUUUGAUACCUCUGGAUACAACUUAACAUUUAAUAGCAUCUUGCUUUUCUCC